UACGUAGGGGGCAAGCGUUAUCCGGAUUUACUGGGUGUAAAGGGAGCGUAGACGGCUGUGCAAGUCUGAAGUGAAAGCCCGUGGCUCAACCGCGGAACUGCUUUGGAAACUGGCGGGCUAGAGUGCGGGAGGGGUAAGCGGAAUUCCUAGUGUAGCGGUGAAAUGCGUAGAUAUUAGGAGGAACACCAGUGGCGAAGGCGGUCUGCUGGACAGCAACUGACGCUGAGGCGCGAAAGCGUGGGGAGCAAACAGG
rnacentral:rRNA from 1 species